GAGCCCCCACCUUCCCAGAACCCACAAGAGGGGCCCAGCAGGACGACAUGCUUGAAAGAACUCUGAGUUCAGCGACUAUGGGCCAUAUCUGUCCAGGGAGCUGGGGACCCCAAGGAAAAGAAUCGACAACACUCAGUUCCCAGGAGCCACCAAGAAGGGUAUGCAUGUGUGUCCACACUCUCCAGCUAGCAGUGGUCUUGGCCUCCCUGGAUGUAGGUUUCAGCUCUGACACCUGCCCUGAAUUGCCCAUGUUGAUAUCUACACACAGAAUCCUCCUCUCUCGACCCCAGUGCCACUCACAUUUCUAUCUCUAACUCUGACGUCUCCUGUGAGCUCCAGACCCUUAUUCCCAGCUUAACAUGUCCAAAGAGCACUCUUGGUUCUCCCCACCCUGAACCCCAUCUCCCUCUUUCCUCUCUCCAGCCCAAAACGAGAAGUCUUCCCUGGCUUCUCUCCUUCCUCGGCAAAUCCUCUCAGUUCUACUUUUAAAAUAGCUCUGGAAUCUAACUUUCACACCCUAUGUGGCCACCACCUUGGUCCAGCCAACAUCACCUCCCACCUGCAUCAGCCUCCUCCCUGGGCUCCCAGCUGCCACCCUUGCCCCUGAUAAUCUGUUGCCCCAGAGGGCAGACAGAGAGAUCUGUUUAAAAAACUUAGACCACUCCAUUAGGAGCCGCUCCAAAGAAUCUUCAGUGCACCUGAAAUAAAAUUCCCACUCUUCUGCCCCCGCCCACUUCUCUCUCCAUCUGUUGGCUCUGACUCGUCCCACUCCAGACACGCAGGCCUCCUCUCUGUUCCUCAGACACCGCCAAGCUCCUUCCCGCCCCAGGGCCUUCGCAGAUGCUCUUCCUUCUGCCUAGAAUCUCGCCGCCAAUUCUUUCCAAAGGUGUCUCCUUCACCUCUUUCAGGCAUGGCUUAAAUGUCACUUCCUCAGAGAUGCCCCACCCCCUUCUAACUUUUCUUUAUAAGCCGUUCCACAACGUAUAUGUAACUUGGUUUAUCCUCACGGUCUGUUUCCCCCACUCAGUUGUGAUCUCUAGGAGAACAGGGACCUUGUCUUUUGUUUCCUUCCCCUCCGCCCCCCGCCCCCGCACCGCCCCAUUUCCCCAGCGCUCUCCACACCAGGCCUGGUACACAGCAAGCGCUCAAUAAAUACGUGCUAACUGAAUGGACCCAAGAA